AUGCUACCGAGUACUUCAGUGGCUUCCUCAAUGCAAGGGAACGGAGUCUACAUUCCAGGGAUGUAACAAGACUCACCGCUGGAGCAAAACGCUACAAGUACCUCAGAAGGCUUUUUCGAUUUCGGCAGAUGGACUUUGAGUUUGCCUCAUGGCAGAUGCUCUACCUAUUCACUUCCCCACAAAGGGUUUAUAGAAACUUUACUAUUGGAAGCAAACAAAGGAUCAGUGGGCCAGAGAUGACCCUGCUUUCUUGGUCCUCUUAAGUGUCUGGCUCUUUGUGUCCAGCAGAGGAUUUGGCUUUGUGCUUGGGAUGGAAUUUUUUGAGACAAUCAAGCUGCUCCUGUGGGUUGUAGUCAUAGAUUGUGUGGGUGUUGGCCUUCUGAUAUCAACUUUAGUGUGGUUCAUCUCCAACAAGUAUCUAGUGAAACGCCAGAGCAGAGACUACGAUAUGGAGUGGGGGUACACCUUUGAUGUACAUCUGAAUGCAUUUUAUCUGCUCCCAGUCAUUUUGCAUUUUACCCAGCUCUUUUUCAUCAACCAUGUUAUCCUCACAGAUACGUUUAUUGGACAUUUAGUUGGAAAUACCUUAUGGUUGAUUGCGGUUGGCUAUUAUAUCUAUGUAGCCCUCCUGGGAUACAGUGCACUGCCAUUUUUGAAAAACACAGUCAUCCUGCUCUACCCAUUCACACCUCUGGUCACGCUGUAUGGACUGUCGCUGGCCCUGGGCUGGAAUUUACCCACACGCUGUGUUCCUUCUACAAGUACAGAGUGAAGUGAGAAGUGACCGCAGCAGUGGAGCGCAACUGUCAGGUGUAGGG